AUUGAACGCUGGCGGCAGGCCUAACACAUGCAAGUCGAACGAGUGCCGGACGGGUGAGUAAUGUCUGGGAAACUGCCCGAUGGAGGGGGCUAACUACUGGACACGGUAGCUAAUACCGCAUACCAUCGGAUGUGCCCAGAUGGGAUUAACUAGUAGGUUGGGUAACGACUCACCUAGGCGACGAUCCCUAGCUGGUCUGAGAGGCUGACCAGCCACACUGGAACUGAGACGCGGUCCAGACGCCUACGUGAUGAAGGAGUGGGGAAUAGUGCACAAGGGGCGCAAGCCUGAUGCGGGCAUGCCGAGUGUAUGAAGAAGGCCUUCGGGUUGUAAAGUACUUUCAGCGAGGAGGCGUUACUCGCAGAAGAAGCAGCGGCUAACUCCGUGCCAGCAGCCGCGGUAAUUC
rnacentral:rRNA from 1 species